UAAAAAUUAAGAGAAAUUUAAAAUUAUAAUAAAUAGUAGCCAACGAGUCGGUAUAACCUACCAUAAAGUUUCCAUCACUUAGUUUUGUAAUUUGUUUUAAGAUAAACAGGUACUUAAGCCUGAAGAGUUUCACAGAUGAGCACACCCUCAAUUCUUCCUUUGAACAUCAUUCACCAGAUCGUCUGGAAAUCUGGAAGCCUUACCCGUCUGACAGGUCUCCCAUGGAGGUAUUACUCUCUAGAAACAUUAUGUGAUUCUUGCCCACUCUCUGGGGCUCGAAACGACUUUUAGCAAAGCUACUAAUUCAUCACCAUAAAGUUAGAUAAUAGCCAAAGUGAACGGAAUGAAUGUUACAACGCUAUUUACCGGCUGUUUUUAGUAUUCUAAAGACACAAAUCAGGGAACCACUUUCCACGGGCAAUUCACAAAGACUGCCUUAAAAGACCUCACGUCCACAUUUCUACCCAAAUGUCCUAUUGAUACCCUAAACCCAACGGCCAUUUAUCUUGAAUGACAGUCGUUCAAAAAUUGGUUAUCAACCCCCGCCCCAAACACAAGCUUAGUCAGGUCUAUCUAGUUCCCAGUAACCAGGACGGUGACCCUCACGAGUUAACGCGAGGGUGUGGGCCUGCUCAUCUGCCGGGCCCCUCACCUCCUAACAGUCUACUCUCUCGUAUCAGCUUCGCUGUAUCAGUGCGGUCUAGCGGGGGCGGUUCGGGGCAGUGGGUCCCUCCACUCCCGCUUUCCCGCCCAGGUCUUCCCCGCCCUUCGCUACGCAGGCAGCGGCCCGCAAGUGACCCGACCUUUCGGCCUGGGCCUCGCCUCUCCUUCCUCCUCUGCAGCUCCUCGCCUGCACUGGGCCCGGCCUCGGAGAAAAGCCUCGCCAGGCCUUCAUAAAUGCCCUCGCUCCGCCCAGUUCCCCGACUGGAGCACCCACACAGGCACCGGGGAGACCGGCAGGAGCGCGAGAACGCCUCUCCGCACGCGCGCCGCGCCGCCCCGCCCUUCCAUCGGCCUGAGGAACCGGGGGCCAGUCAGAGCGUGCCUCGCCUCCGCGCCCCGGGCUCCGCCGCGCACCGUCCACCUUUCCGGGCGGCAUUAGCACACAAUAGUCGGCUCGCGGAAUUUAAGCUCGCCGUGUUCCUGCAAGUCGUCACCCGUAGAAACAGCCUUCCCCGGGGCGGCCUCGAAGCUCCUGCAGAGUGACGGGAAGAGGCUGGUGGAGGGGAGGGGGAGACAAGGAAGACUUUCAUUUUCAAGAAAAACUUUCGCCCUCCCGACCUCCCCCGCACUCAUCUCAGGAUAGAAACGUCCCUUGACUGAGCUAAUGGUGUUGUGUUAAAGGAAAGAGAUGGUUUUUCUUUUAAAUGUAACAGUUUCUUCCUUGUGAGGUAAUGCGGAGCCCGUGCGUACCCAGAAUCCCCGAGGUCUCGCGUGGCGUGUUUCCGGUGGCUGUGCUCCCGCGGCAGCGGCAGGGCGAGGCUCGGACGAGCGUCAUCCGCUUUUCUCAGCCCCCGCUCCGGCGGGAUCCUCACCCGUUUGCAGUUUCUCUCCGCAAAUUAACAGUUUCCUUGUAUUUUGUGAUUGUAAGAAGAAUACUGCUUUUUAAAAAAAUGCCUACUCCCUGCAACUGUCCAGUAUUUUUUGGCAUCCCUUAAAUUUUGCAUUAAGGGCAGAUGUCUCACUCGCCCUGCUUCCUCACCCUAGACCUGGUCCUACCACGAGGAGUCAACUUACUUCACAGAUUAACAUGGUGUCUGACUCAAAAACAUUCACAACUGUGAGAUCACCACUAUCCGCAUUUCACAGAGAGAAGAACCUAGGCUUUGAGAAGUUAAGGUAACCUGCCCACGGUCACA